AGAGUUUGAUCCUGGCUCAGGAUGAACGCUAGCGGCAGGCCUAAUACAUGCAAGUCGAGGGGCAGCGCAGGUAGCAAUACCGGGCGGCGACCGGCAAACGGGUGCGGAACACGUACGCAACCUUCCUUCAAGCGGGGAAUAGCCCAGAGAAAUUUGGAUUAAUACCCCAUAGCACUGUCCGAUGGCAUCAUUGGACAGUUAAAGAUUUAUCACUUGAAGAUGGGCGUGCGUCUGAUUAGGUAGUUGGUGAGGUAACGGCUCACCAAGCCGACGAUCAGUACCUGGCGUGAGAGCGCGACCAGUCACACGGGCACUGAGACACGGGCCCGACUCCUACGGGAGGCAGCAGUAAGGAAUAUUGGUCAAUGGACGGAAGUCUGAACCAGCCAUGCCGCGUGGAGGAUGAAGGUCCUCUGGAUUGUAAACUUCUUUUAUUUGGGACGAAAUGAUCUUUUUCUAAAGAUUUUGACGGUACCAGAUGAAUAAGCACCGGCUAACUCCGUGCCAGCAGCCGCGGUAAUACGGAGGGUGCAAGCGUUAUCCGGAUUCACUGGGUUUAAAGGGUGCGUAGGCGGACACUUAAGUCCGUGGUGAAACUCCGGGCCUAACCCGGAAAACUGCCAUGGAUACCAUUUGUCUUGAAUGCUGAGGAGGUUAGCGGAAUAUGUCAUGUACGGGUGAAAUGCA
rnacentral:rRNA from 1 species